UUUAAAGAGAGUUUGAUCCUGGCUCAGGACGAACGCUGGCGGCGUGCCUAAUACAUGCAAGUCGAACGAACGGAGGAAGAGCUUGCUCUUCCAAAGUUAGUGGCGGACGGGUGAGUAACACGUGGGCAACCUGCCUGUAAGUUGGGGAUAACUCCGGGAAACCGGGGCUAAUACCGAAUGAUAAAGUGUGGCGCAUGCCAUGCUUUUGAAAGAUGGUUUCGGCUAUCGCUUACAGAUGGGCCCGCGGUGCAUUAGCUAGUUGGUAGGGUAAUGGCCUACCAAGGCAACGAUGCAUAGCCGACCUGAGAGGGUGAUUGC
rnacentral:rRNA from 1 species